GAUGAACGCUAGCGGCAGGCCUAAUACAUGCAAGUCGAACGCUCAGUAGCAAUACUGGGAGUGGCGCACGGGUGCGUAACGCGUACACAAUCUACCUCUAAGCGGGGGACACCUCCUGGAACGGGGAUUAAUACCGCAUAAUAUGCCGAGGUCGCAUGACUUUGGUAUUAAAGCAGCAAUGCACUUAGAGAUGAGUGUGCGUCCCAUUAGGUAGUUGGUGAGGUAACGGCUCACCAAGCCUAUGAUGGGUAGCCGGUCUGAGAGGAUGGGUCGGCCACACGGGCACUGAGACACGGGCCCGACUCCUACGGGAGGCAGCAGUAAGGAUAUUGGGUCAAAUGGUGGAAACACUGACCAGCCAUGCCGCGU
rnacentral:rRNA from 1 species